AACGAACGCUGGCGGCGCGCUUAACACAUGCAAGUCGAACGAGAAGGCGUAGCAAUACGCUUGUACAGUGGCGAACGGGUGAGGAAUACAUGGGUAACCUACCCUCGAGUGGGGGAUAACCCGCCGAAAGGCGGGCUAAUACCGCGUACGCUUCCGAUCUUGCGGGAUCGGAAGGAAAGCUGUCCCUUGGGGAUGGCGCUCAAGGAUGGGCUCAUGUCCUAUCAGCUUGUUGGAGGGUAACGGCCUACCAAGGCAUCGACGGGUAGCUGGUCUGAGAGGACGAUCAGCCACACUGGCACUGCGACACGGGCCAGACUCCUACGGGAGGCAGCAGUGAGGAAUAUUGCGCAAUGGGCGAAAGCCUGACGCAGCGACGCCGCGUGGGGGAUGAAGGUCUUCGGAUUGUAAACCCCUUUCGGGAGGGAAGACGGCCUUAGACAACUAAGGCGGACGGUACCUCCAGAAGCAGCCACGGCUAACUUCGUGCCAGCAGCAGCCGCGGU
rnacentral:rRNA from 1 species